GAGAGGCAGAGUAUGAAGCUGAGCAGAUACAAAUCAAGAAAGACAAAGAAGGAAGUGGCGCGACUGAGAGUUCUUCAAGAAAGGGACAGAGACCAUAAAGCUGAGCAGGAUGACAUCAGGGCACGGAGGAACCAAGAAGCGGCUGCAAGGGAAUAGAUAAGAAAAGAAAAAGAGCAGACUCGGAGAAAGCUGUAAGUAGAAGAGAAGCUGAAGGCUGCUCGUUUGGAGCAAGUCACUCACAAGGAGCACUUGCUGUCCAUUGAAGCUGGACGAGAGAGAGCAGAGUUUGAGAGGGUCCUGAGGGCACAGCAGGAGCUCAUUGAGAAAGAACGAGAAAAAGAGGAGCAACAGCAUCGAAAAAUCCAAAAGCAUGCUGAGGCUGUGAGGCAGCAGGUACGGGAGAGAGAGAUGCAGGCCGUCACCCAGCACAGAGAGCUGUUCCAAGAGGGCGAGCGGCUGGAAGAAGAGGCGCGCAAUCGCAGAGCCCGGUUGGAUGAGAUGAAAGAAAAGAAGCUGAGGGAACUCAAGGCAGCUGGGCUCUCAGACAAGUACUACAAGAAAGUGGAGCGUAAGGUUCGAGCCCUUCCAGCUCUAUUAAACUGAAGAAUGGUAGAAAUGGAAGAGAUCAAUCAAAUAAACAAACGAAGAAAUACAUUUGUUGUUUGGCUCAACAUAUGAACUCCCCAGUGCAUGUUUUGCCAGCGGAUUUGUGGAAAAGAUUACAUCAUCACUUAUGGAAAGGGUAAACAAAAUACACGUCAAGGCAUGUGUGGUUUGUGGUCUUUGGCUGACUCAAUAUACUGUAACUCCAAGUAUGUUAAAAGUGCACUGCUAAAUCUUCUGACAAGAAUGUAGGACAAAGCAAAACAUACUAUGUAAUUUUUAUUGAAACUUGUAUGGAAUUAAUUUAAAUUAAUCUGUAAUCACAUAUAAUAUAUUCAG